ACCCUGUCAAUCAUCACGGCUUCCUCCUUGCACGCCGCAGGCACCACUGAACAACACAGCCCUACUCCACUUCAUGAUUCGCAGUAGUGUCGCCCGACCACCGCAAAAUUCCUCUCCCUCGCGUUGGCAGCUGCGCUGUCUGACUACUGUAGCGACCUCUUCCUCACAUUCGCAGAAGCAUCGCUCAACCACUGCAACUCCUUUCCCCUCGCGAUUCGUAGCGCGACUGAUCACCUUUCUAGUGAGUCGAUUGAUAUUCCUUUACUUUUUAUUUUCUAAUUUCCUUCUUUUUC
rnacentral:lncRNA from 1 species